CCCUUAGAUGUCCUGGGCCGCACGCGCGCUACACUGAGUGUCUGAGAUACGAGUCUGCCUGGUCCGGCAAGGUCUAGGUAAUCGCUAAAAGACACAUCAUGCUUGGGAUAGAUUAUUGCAAAUAUUAAUCUUGAACGAGGAAUUCCUAGUAAGCGCAAGUCAACAGCUUGCGUUGAUUACGUCCCUGCCCUUUGUACACACCGCCCGUCGCUCCUACCGAUUGAAUGAUCCGAUGAAUACCAUGGAUUGAGAGUUCGAAUAGGUUCGCCUAUUUCAGCUUCUCGAGAAGUGGAGUAAAUCUUAUCAUUUAGAGGAAGGAGAAGUCGUAACA
rnacentral:rRNA from 1 species